rnacentral:rRNA from 1 species
AGAGUUUGAUCAUGGCUCAGAACGAACGUUAGCGGCGCGCCUAACACAUGCAAGUCGCACGAGAAAGGGCUUCGGCCCCGGUAAAGUGGCGCACGGGUGAGUAACACGUGGGUAACCUGCCCUCGAGCGGGGGAUAACAUUCCGAAAGGAGUGCUAAUACCGCAUAAGACCACGACCUCGAAAGAGGCUGAGGUCAAAGCUGGCCUCUAUUUAUAAGCUAGCACUUGAGGAUGGGCCCGCGGUGCAUCAGCUAGUUGGUGAGGUAAUGGCUCACCAAGGCUAAGACGCAUAGCUGGUCUGAGAGGAUGAUCAGCCACACUGGAACUGAGACACGGUCCAGACUCCUACGGGAGGCAGCAGUGGGGAAUCUUGCGCAAUGGGCGAAAGCCUGACGCAGCGACGCCGCGUGAGUGAUGAAGGCCUUCGGGUUGUAAAGCUCUGUGGGGAGAGACGAAUUAGUAGAAGCCAAUACCUUCUAUGAUGACGGUAUCUCCUUAGCAAGCACCGGCUAACUCUGUGCCAGCAGCCGCGGUAAUUC